rnacentral:sRNA from 1 species
AUCUAGGAAGCAGGAAGCAGGGCCUGACCAGACACCAAAUCUGCUGGGGCGUUAGUCUUGGAUUUCCAGCCUCCAUAACUGUGCAAAAUCCAUUUCUGUUGCUUAUAAGCUACCCAGCUUCCGGGAUUUUGUUUAGCAGCCCAAAUGGACUAAGACAGUGGCAUAAGUGGAAAUAAACUCAAGCUGAUGCUUCAAAAACGAGAAGCACCUGUUCCAACUAAGACUAAAGUGGCCGUUGAUGAGAAUAAAGCCAAAGAAUUCCUUGGCAGCCUGAAGCGCCAGAAGCGGCAGCUGUGGGACCGGACUCGGCCCGAGGUGCAGCAGUGGUACCAGCAGUUUCUCUACAUGGGCUUUGACGAAGCGGUAGGUGUUGCCUCCGGCUGCAGGCCUGGCUUCCACAGGGCAGGGUGGCAGGGAGGAGGCCUGGCUCGGGGAAAUAGGAAGCAGAAAAUUCAGCUUUGCUGUUCAUUCCUAGAGUAAGAGCCCCAUCAUAUGCCAAGUGCUAUCAGGCACUGGAUCAUGUUACCUGUGGUGUAAGGGCGAUGGCUGGAAGUUUCCA